rnacentral:lncRNA from 1 species
ACCAAGGAGAGGCCAACAGAUGAGGGGAGCCAUUUUUCUGCAAUGGAAUUAAAUGGCCAAAGCAGUAAACAGUCCUCAGCGAAGCCGCCUUUUGCCAACCCAACCCUGGAAAGUUUGCAGAAGUGGAAGGAGCAGAAAAUGCCAUGAGAGUAUAACUUACAAAAAGGCUCUUGGCUGGAGAAAAGGCAGCUGCCUGGCACCCCCAGAGUGAACUAUCCUCCUUUGGACAGCACCAGCAGGCCUAAUGUCACUCUGACAAGAAGGUAGGUGUGAGUCCUUUCCCAGCCUGCCAGGGAGAUUCGGGGGGCUUGGGAGCUCAGGGAGGGUGAGGGUGAGCACCCCAAACCCGCUGGGCUGGUUCUGCAGCCUCUCCCCCACGCAGAUGUGUGGGACUGUGUGUGUGAAAUCGGCUCCCUGCUAGGUCCAUCCAUCCCCGCCUGUCAGCUUCUGUUGUCAAGAGUUUGGGGUGUGCAAUUCUCUGCAGUCUUGAGCGCAUAGGAGGCUGCACUUGCAAGUAUUUACCAGUUGUGUGUUUUGUGGUGGGAGAGGGCCCUGGGUGCCUCUUCUGAAAGGUAGUGUCUGCUGCCAGGAAACCCGGCCCUGCUCUGGCCCUCCCUUCCUGCCCAGAGUGGGGGCGUGUGGGGUGACUGUGUGAGCUGGCCUCUUCCCCUCUGAUGUCUAGCUGCUAGGGAGGUGGAGAACACAAGUACCUGAGUUUUGGGCCAGCUUCCUCUGAGAAAGAGCUUUCUUGACUCUUCUCCCCAUUCCUUGGAAUUCCCACGGAUUCUCUGCACCACCACCACCCUCAAAAAGAAUACUGUUUGUAAAAUCAGACCCGGGAUUUGAAACCUGGCUGGCCAUUUACGUGCUGUGACUUUGCAUGAGCUGCUUGGUCUCUGAGCCCGUUUCCCUAUAUUGCUCAAAUGGGGCUAGGUCAGUGAUUCCCAGCCCUGAGCCUGCUCGUUACAAACGUCUCCCAAGGCCCAGUCCAACAGCUUUUGAUUCAGUAGGUGAGACCUGAGAACUUGCCUUUGUAACAAGCUCCCAGGUAAUCCUGAUGGCUGCAGUCUGAGGACACCUUUUGAGAACGUCUGGGCUGGGUAACACCCGGAGGUAUGGCGAGGAUGGCGUUAGUGCACUUGAAACCCCAUGCUCAGUGCUUGACAGAGGCGUUAGCUUGCCAAUAAUGGCAACUCUCUCCCCAUCCUCCUGAUACAAGCUGGCUGCUCAUACAUAGUUAACUACUGUCUCCAGGAAACUCCACAGCUGGAGGUGGCGUGGCCCUUGAUCUCUGAUCCCUUCCCCAUGUGAUCUCCAGUUAGGGAUUACUUUGAUGAACCAUUUGGGUCCAGGUGCCACUGAUCCCCACCACUCCCCCAUUUGGGCUGAGGUUUGGCUUCCUUGUGGGAUGAGCCCUGCCUACUUUUGCCCCACCCCUCAAUGUGAAGACUAAACCAAAGCUUGGGGGAGGGGCGGAGCUUGACCUGGAGAUUUUCUUGAGAGCCAUCCUGGUGGUUAAUCUAGGGAGGCUCUAAAUCCCAUCUCUGUUCUGGUGACCUUGGGCGAGUCUCCAGUGUGAAACGAUAAUAAAGAUGCAGUCUGGAAACGGGAGUGGUAGGCGUAAGUGUGAUUAGGGGGCUUGGCCUCACGUUCUGGCUGCACAUUAGUUGGUCUCCUUUCCCAUGUGGCUGCAGGGAGUGGGGGCUGGGCUGUCUGCGAGCUCCUCCCCCACCAACCCACCCCCGAGGCACGUGGCAAAGCCUGGGGCAAAGGGGAAGACUGACUCUCCGUAGGCAGGGAGCCAGCACCGUUUUUCCUCCUGUGUGGUUUGAGUCGGAAUGGUGGCCUCCCCUCAGCUUCACCGACUGUCCCUAAUGGGGUCAUGAUUUGGGGUCACUCCCCCAAAAACCCAGAGAAUAAAAGUGACUCACCCAAGGUCACGAGGCCACCAGUGGCAGCCAGGGUGGAGUUCCAGGUGUCUUGACUUCUAGCCCAUCACCCGUGUCCGUGGCACCCCCUCCCACCCCAGCUGUCUGGGUUAUUUUGGGCUUCCUCUCGUGCCAGCUGUCUGCUGGCAUCACUGCCAGGAAGCUGGGAAAGCAGUCUGGUUGAAAGUAGCCAGUGUGGUGCUCUUCACUCCUUCUGGCCCCCUUCCCUUGGCUCUGUGAGGGUCUCCAGUCCCAGAUAAGCUGGGGUUGGUCCAUCUUGUCCUUUGCUGGGGCGGGGAGGAAGGAGGCUCCCUCCCGUGCCCCUGGCACCACACUUCUUUGCCCCUAUGCGCACGGGGCUGGGGGGGCGGGGGGGGCACUUCCAAAAGUUGAUGAGGCUCACGUUCUUAAUAUCUCAUGGGCCUCUUCCUUUCACACUGGCCUAAAAUUUGAGGUUUAAAUUUGGUUCUGCUAUUGAGUUGAUUAUUCAACCCCCUUGAUCCUCAGGUGACUGGCGUGUUGCCUGAGGGUGUCCUCUGACCCUUUAGAUAGAGUCCUUAAGGUUCCCAGAGACGGGGCGUCUCAUGGGCGUCCGUGGUUAAAUAAUUGAUUUAAACUUCGACUCUCCCAGCCCCAGGCUGGAGAGCCAUAGCCGGCUUCGGAACUAUUAGGGAGCAAUUAGGUGCUAAACUGUGGUCUGGGUAUGAUUCUGGGGAAGGAGAGGUGUCCUUAACGACCUGUAAGGGUCAUACUCCCUCCACUUCCAUUUCCUCUUUACCUCUUUCACUUUUUUUUUUUUUUUUUUUUUUUGUACCCCCACCCCACACCCAUCACCUGGGGCAGGGAGAUGGGGCAGGGAGAGGCGGAGCAGCCUGUCUGUCCUCGGCCGUGUAGUUCCUCCCCGCUCGGGCUGGCCCCGCCCCCUGGUCCCCGAGCGAGCUCCGGGCGGGGCGCUCCUGGCGCCAAUCCGGUGGGGCCAGCCUGGAGAGGGCCACGCCAGCGGAAGGGCGGCCCAAGGCUGGGAGGUGGCUGGACCUGCCUUGCUACUGGACACCAGGGUCCCGCCUCUUCCGGCCCAUCCAGCGUGAGCCCCAGCCUGGAAUACGACCUUUCAGACCCUCCGGGUGGAGACUGCCUCUGCCCGGACUGUGGCGAGAGGCGCCCCGCCAUCUUGGAGGCCGCCUGGGUCCAGCGCUGUCUCCAACUGGCCAGUGACCGCAGCAAGUCCCCGCCCCUCCGGAAGCUAAGGUCUCCCCCUGUGAAGCAGGAGGAAUGUGGACGAUGACCUUUUGAGCUGUUUCUGAGUCUGGCUUUGUGAGGGGGAGCUUUCUGUGUUCCAGCACGACCUCCCCACCAGCACCGCCAGGUACUGAGCCCUGGAGAGAGUCCUUGACUCACAGUCAGCCCCUGGCCACCUCCCAUCUCUGGUACCACAAAGAAUUAGCUCAAUUUCUUCUGCGGCCGCUGGGUUGGAUGACCCCUCAGGAGUGAGGUGACCUCCUAGGAUGUUCUCAAGUACCAGGGCAAGAGAAGCUGGAAGAAUUGUCCUUAACUUCCACAUCCUAACCUAUGCUUGGUCAGACUUUGCCCCGGCAAGACGGAAGUGGAUCUGGCCCUUAUUUCUCUUCUGGGCUCAGCUGGCCUUAUGGCGGGAGGCACAGGCCAAACGAGUCCACGCCACUCAUGCUACCUGGCGUGCUCCCCUAGGCUUCGGUGUCCAACAGCUCUAUGGCAAGAACCAAUUUAAGGACUCUUGCUUGCUUUCCUAAACCUCCCCAGGAAUUCCUUGUGAAUAGAAGGUGAAUGACUUGGGGCCUCAGAACAUCUCAGGUAAGGGAGCAGGGCUCCCAGAGCUUACGAGCUGGCCCUGCUCAGCGGGCCUGCCCUGGCCCAGCUGCCUCUGAGGAAGCUCUCAGCAGCUGGCCUGGCUCCUGGGUAUUUUUAGGUACAGAUCCAGCCCCUGCACCACUGGAGCGGAGUCCAAUUCAAACACUCCAGGCCGGGUGGGGCUGGGGUUCUGCCAGCCUCCUGGUGAUGCAGGGGUGGGUGGGUGUGCCGGGGCCAGUGUCAGCUGUUCUGCCUGCAUGCAGGCAGGGCCCGGAAGCCUCCUUUUUCUUCCGCCCCGAGCGCCCCCCCCCUAGUUUGGUGGAAGCCAUGUGUUCUGUCUUGAGAUCGGAGCCCCAUUUUUCAGGAGAGAAAAUGGAAACUGAGGUCCCAGAUUUUGAGGAAUGUCAGGCGGUGUGGUUAACCCCCAGGUGGCAGUUUGCUCAGAGUGGGUUGACCCUCCUAACUGAAUCUCCCCGGCCCCUCAUUCUCUUGCCCUCCAGGCCCUCCCUGAGCCUCAGGGUCAGAUCCAGGGCUGGCUGGAAAGGUAAGUGGUUCUCCCCUCAUUCGGAGGCCUCCUUCAUCCUUCAUCUCCUGCUGGCCUCAGGCUGCCAUUACAGACACACCCCCAGCCCUGCCUCACCAGCCAGUCACAGCUUCUCUUAAGUCACCAGAGACAGCUUGAGUACCUGGCUUUGGCUGGGCACUUCUUUUCAGGAGCUUUCCUCUCUUGAGCCUGGCAGAAAGGCCCUCCCUGAUCUGACUCCAGUUACCUUGACAACCCUGUCUGGCCUCCCUGCUCACUCUCAGGCACCGUGGAACCUAAUGGGGUUUUCCAGCCACCAUGCGUUUGCCCAGGGUGCCCAUCCUGUUUCCAUUGGUCUUCCCUCUCAACAUUGCCUGUAUUAGGUUCGACCUUCCCUAAGCCCUCAUCUCUAAAUUGUUCACAUCUCCCAGACUCCUUUAGACUGUUCCCCAAGACUUAGCUGCUUUGCAGGAAGGAACAUGGUUGCCUCUCAAUAAAUUUGUGUUGGAAAAAA